rnacentral:rRNA from 1 species
AACGAACGCUGGCGGCGUGCCUAAGACAUGCAAGUCGUGCGAGAAAGGGGCUUCGGUCCUUAGUACAGCGGCGCACGGGUGAGUAACGCGUGGGUAACCUACCUCGAAGUCUGGAAUAACCCGGGGAAACCUGAGCUAAUACCGGAUAAGCCUACGAGGUCUUCGGAUCAUGUGGGAAAAGAUGGCCUCUGCUUGCAAGCUAUCGCUACGAGAUGAGCCCGCGUCCCAUUAGCUAGUUGGUGAGGUAACGGCUCACCAAGGCGACGAUGGGUAGCUGGUCUGAGAGGACGAUCAGCCACACUGGAACUGAGACACGGUCCAGACUCCUACGGGAGGCAG